rnacentral:rRNA from 1 species
GACGAACGCUGGCGGCGUGCCUAAUACAUGCAAGUAGAACGCAGUUGCGAACGGGUGAGUAACGCGUAGGUAACUGCCUCAUAGCGGGGGAUAACUAUUGGAAACGAUAGCUAAUACCGCAUACUGUGGGAUGGACCUGCGUUGUAUUAGCUAGUUGGUGAGGUAAAGGCUCACCAAGGCGACGAUACAUAGCCGACCUGAGAGGGUGUGCGGCAAAAAUGGGAAUGAGACAAGGCCCAGCCUCCUACGGGAGGGAGCAGUAGGGAAUUUUCGGCAAUGGGGGGAAGGCUGACCGAGCAACGCCGCGGGAGUGAAUAAGGUGUUCGGAUCGUAAAGCUCUGUUGUUAGAGAAGCGGUAACUAAACAGAAAGGGCCGGCUAACUACGUGCCAGCAGCCGCGGUAAUAC